ACAGCAAAAUUGUUGGGAAAUUUUUUGAGAUAUUAAGCCUAAAUUUUCCUCUUUGCAACUUGUAUUCUUUAUUCCUUGUUCUGAACUCUUAGGUCAAACAGGACAAAUUUAAUCACUUCUUCAUAUGCCAGCUCUUCAGAUACUUAGACAGAUGGCGUUUUCUAUCCAAAGUUUAUUGGGACUGCCUUGGAUCACUGAACCACAGGCGGACGGCCAGGACCUGAUACUUUCUCCCGGCCCUUUGGUCUUUGUCAAGUCUCUGUACCUGUUACCUCUGUAGUUCUGACCGACAUGGAUUGCUGUCGCACAUAUGACUGGCAGAAACUCAGGAGUUUCCACAACUUCUCAUUAAAUAGGUUUUAACAUCUCACACAACUCCUAGAAGGACAAUUGAUCUGGGGAGAAGGUGAAGGGACAGGAAGGCAUCAGUUGUUGCCAGUAACAGUGACAAAG